CGACCACCCCGGGGGUUCACCAACGUGUGAGCAGCUGUCAGCCAGUUGGACUAUAAAUAAGGAUGACAGAACUCCUUGGGGUCUCCCUGGCCUGUGGGGAGGCUCAGACAGCGGUCAGCAGCCUUUCUUCACAGCAGUAUCAGCAGUGUGAUGUGGCAAGGCCAGCAGAGCCCCCAAGAGCCCCCGCCAAGGUGAAGGUCACAGAGGCAAGGCCAACCAGGAUAUCUUGGUCCCCUGUUCAAAGCUCGGAGACCAAAACCAAAGACCAUCCAGGCCUGGGACAUUCUGAUUCUACCCAGCAGUCAUGUGCUGAGCUCCCACCAGGAACCAGAAAAGGUGGGCACGAAGACAGAGAGGUGAUGGAGACCCCCGUCCCAGGACCUUCAGGGCUCUGCCCCCAGCCACCACCACGGCCAGCAUCUCAGCUGUCCGGCCCACCCUCUCAAGCCCUUUGCCACGAGGUCCUGAAAUCCCCGUUAACCCAGCUGUACUAUUCGCUCUUUUUUUUCCCCCCAAUAAACACUCAUCGUGCUUCGUCCAUGUGUCAGGCACAGGGCAGAUCCAGGAGCCUUGGCCCCUGAACAAAAUAAAUGACUCUCCCGUGUGCUGUGGUCACAGCUGGAGCCUCUCACCUUGAACCUGGAACAUCUUUCUCCCCGCUCACUGUCGAUGCCGUUUGCCACCGUGCCGCCACUGUCACCUUUCUGCGGGGUCACUGUCACUGGUGCUCCCCGCUCUGGGGUGGGCAGCCCUCGUCUUUCUGUGGACCUUGU